GAUGAACGCUGGCGGCGUGCCUAAUACAUGCAAGUCGAGCGAACAGACGAGGCGCUUGCUCCUCUGACGUUAGCGGCGGACGUGUGUGUAACACGUGUAUACCCUACCUAUAAUUCUGGGAUCACUUCGGGACACCGGAGCUAAUACCGGAUAAUCUCUUGAUCCACAUGGUUCAAUAGUGAAAUACGGUUUUUCUGUCACUUCUAGAUGGAUCCGCGCCUCAUUAGCUAGUUGGUAAGGUCACGGCUUACCAAGGCAACGAUGCGUAGCCGACCUGAGAGGGUGAUAGGCCACACUGGAACUGAGACACGGUCCAGACGCCUACGGGAGGCAGCAGUAGGGAAUCUUCCGCAAUGGGCGAAAGCCUGACGGAGCAACGCCGCGUGAGUGAUGAAGGUCUUCGGAUCGUAAAACUCUGUUAUUAGGGAAGAACAAAUGUGGAAGUAACUAUGCACGUCUUGACGGUACCUAAUCAGAAAGCCACGGCUAACUACGUG
rnacentral:rRNA from 1 species